rnacentral:rRNA from 1 species
CUUGAAGCUGGACUUCGGAAAGCAUUCGACUCUGUUAGUUGGGACUGCCUUAUACAGGUUUUACAUGCAAGGGGCUUCCCUUCGCGGUGGACGCAGUGGAUCCAUACGCUCCUCUCUACCGGACGCUCCAGGGUGCUCAUCGACGGUGAACCGGGCAAUCCCAUCUUGGCAAAGAGAGGUUUUCGGCAGGGGGAUUCCUUGUCGCCG